UACGUAGGGUGCAAGCGUUAAUCGGAAUUACUGGGCGUAAAGCGUGCGCAGGCGGUUAUGUAAGACAGAUGUGAAAUGCCCGGGCUUAACCUGGGAACUGCAUUUGUGACUGCAUGGCUAGAGUGUGUCAGAGGGGGGGUAGAAUUCCACGUGUAGCAGUGAAAUGCGUAGAUAUGUGGAGGAAUACCGAUGGCGAAGGCAGCCCCCCUGGGAUAACACUGACGCUCAUGCACGAAAAGCCGUGGG
rnacentral:rRNA from 1 species